AGGCCCAUGGCCAAGCAGUGGCUGGAGGUCUCCGAGGAGACUUCACAGCCUCUGGGCAGCCUGUGACAGUGCUUGGCCAUUUCUUUCUUCCUUGUUAAGUAAUACAGAGUAUGGCCAGGGCUGGAAAAUAAAGCAGGAGGCCUUUGGUUUAGCUUAGCUUAAAGAGGCCCUCCCAGAAGCCACUGUCAGUGAGCGAGUCCUGAAGUGAAGAGCGUUGGUGGGAAGAAGUAUUUCUCUUGUUAUGUCACAGUGAGUGAGUUCUCCUUUUGUGCUGACUGCUUCAAGAGGAGCUGAACGGAAUCCUGGAGCUUACAUCUGACUGAUGCAGAAGCACUCAGUGGGCACUGAAGAGAUGUGUACUGCUGUAUUUAGUGUGGCUCUGAUCUUGAACAUGAAGAUGAAAAAAAUUAAGAAGAAAAUUAAGAAGGAAAAUUCAUGCUUAUCAAAACCCAUGGAGAAUCUUCAGUACAUGUUAAACAGCUCCUCACUGCUCUGUAAAACCAGGCUGCGUUCCCUGCAGUGCAAGAGGAAAACAAUGCCACUAUCAAUAAUCUACAGAAGCACUUCUACCAGAUACCUCUGUUUUCAGGAAAAAUUCCAUUUGUCCAGCACUUCUGGCUAGUGUAGCUAUGAGUUAAUAUAUCUUUUUUACCUUAAAAAAAAAAAAAAAAUUGAUCAAGGCCAAUCUCAGUUAUAAAUGUCUAAAUGUUUUAUAGUUUUGACAAGGUAGCUUCUUCCUCAUCCUUCCUUGAAAUACUAUCUAUAUAACUUUCCUAAUCUGUGUUUUUGCAUCUAUAUAUCUAUAGCUACCUAUGUACUUGAUUUAUCUCUGUAUUAGUAUAGCAGUAUUUGAUCUAUAGUGCCAAACACUGGGAUAUACUUUAUGGUAACAAUAAAAUACACAGACUUUG
ensembl:lncRNA